rnacentral:rRNA from 1 species
UUGCACGCUGGCGGUAGGCCUCACCCCUGCAAUUCGAACGGCAGCACAGUAAGAGCUUGCUCUUACGGGUGGCGAGUGGCGGACGGGUGAGGAAUACAUCGGAAUCUACUUUUUCGUGGGGGAUAACGUAGGGAAACUUACGCUAAUACCGCAUACGACCUACGGGUGAAAGCAGGGGAUCUUCGGACCUUGCGCGAUUGAAUGAGCCGAUGUCGGAUUAGCUAGUUGGCGGGGUAAAGGCCCACCAAGGCGACGAUCCGUAGCUGGUCUGAGAGGAUGAUCAGCCACACUGGAACUGAGACACGGUCCAGACUCCUACGGGAGGCAGCAGUGGGGAAUAUUGGACAAUGGGCGCAAGCCUGAUCCAGCCAUACCGCGUGGGUGAAGAAGGCCUUCGGGUUGUAAAGCCCUUUUGUUGGGAAAGAAAAGCAGCAGGUUAAUACCCCGCUGUUCUGACGGUACCCAAAGAAUAAGCACCGGCUAACUUCGUG